GAUUCAGUUGAAGUUCUUCUCCUGUCUAUCACUGCUCUUCAGAUUGACCUUGUUAAACACUUAUGAGUGCUUCUCUGUGUAAAGCAUUUGACUACUUUGGGAGACAUAAAACUGACAGUCUAGAAAGGGAAACAGUAGGUAUAGUGUGAAGAUGUGGAGUCUGCAACAUGGCAGCUACUUUUCAACUCUAAUGGAUCAGCCGAAAUCUUCUGAGCGCCACCAAAGAGAGCCUGAGGAUAAAGCAAGCAUGCAGACACCUUGGAAGGUCAAGGGUGGUGGUAGAGGUGUGGGCAGAAUAUCAGGAAAUGCUUCCCUCAGGAAUUGAUGUGCAUGAGGAAUCCUGGAGAAUAAGAAGGCAUGAAGUAGAGAUGAAAGAGAAUGUUUCACACAAAGGAAACAUAUGCAAGCAUCAACUCAACUCUAUGCCUACAGUUCUGGGGCAGAAGAACUGCCAAGGGAGAAAUUAUGCAUUGCCUGCCCCCAGUUCCCUCAGGAUACAUUACAUUAAGGAAGAAAUCAUUCUCAAAAUGUGGAAGCCAAAGCAAACUCCCAUUCUUGACUAGAAUAUUCAGCUUGCCAUUUACCAUUCCAUUCUGAGAGGCAAAAGUUCUUUCUCUCAGUCCCUUUUCCCCAGAAACUGUGAGAAGGUGCAGAGUUGUUGGAUGAAGAAGCCCGUUCAUCAAGGGCUCCUCCCUGUUUCCUGUGCUCUUUCUCAACCCAAACUCAGUGUGCCUCCUUGGCCUUAGCAGUUUCCUUCACUCCUGGACUGAUGGGUGGCACAUGAUUGUGCACUUAAAUACCACAGUACAAACGGGAGGAACACCUGGCUAAUAACUCACAGCCCCAAUUUCUCAUUCAGUACCUUAGCCCAUGUAACCCAGACUAGCUAGAGCAGUGAAGGUCCUCUCUCAUCCUUGAUUACAUGCAUCAUUUAUUACAUCCUAAACAGAGAUGAUUACAUUCCAAUUUCAACUGUCCUUAAAACAUUUCUUUAGGCUCACAGAAACAUCAGCAGCAGCUUUUCCUCAGCUAAUUAGAGACUAAUUGACUCUUUAGCACUGUUAUCAGCUGUGACAGAGCCCUUCCUGCCUCCUGUCUGCCAGCGUACUUGGGACCAUGCCUCUGUGAAGGACUUCAAUUUCUCUUUACAAGAAUCAACGUGGAGCAAACUCCAGUUGCCUACUGCCUAGCAUUCUUGCUAAGAUACGUAUGUAAAUAAAAUGUCUUUAUAUACCUGAGAAUUUAUCUAUGUAGUUCAAGAAUUGUCUUCUUUGCUUAGUUAUCCUACCUUUGAAGGUUUCUGCUUCCAAUUGUUGAGGUGAUGUUACAUCUUUCUGAGGAAGAAGAUGAUACCCUUUUUUGUCCUCCGUAAAAAAGCUUUGUGUGGUGUGGGGUGUGUGUGUGUGUGUCUGUGUGAGCAUUUUGAAUUAUGACCACUGCAUUUCAUGACUUCACUUACCUUGAAUUAUUCUUUUCUCUCAGAGGAUGGACUAAUUUAUUUUCUCCAUAGAGGAUCAGUGUGUUAAUUUCCUUCCUUUCCUCCAAAGCAUAUUCUGAAUGCUUUCACUGCUAGGCAUAGGACAAACAGUUAAAAUGAUAUAUUUUCUGCUCCUCCAGGUCAAAUAGAGGGAUGCAAAAGUUUUAAAAUUAAGUGUAAUAAAGUGCUAUCGAUGUUGUCAUAGGCAUCUGUACAGAGUAUAGUUGGGACAUAAUAAAAAGAUAGCGAUUUCCUGUGGAGGCAGGAUCAUAAAUAUUAAAGGACAACAUAGGAAAGUGUUGACAGGAAGAGAGAGGGAAGUUAGCUUUCCUGGAAGGGAGACUAGGGAGAGCAAAGUCCAGAUGGAGGGAACAACUUGAGAUGUUGUGGGAGUCACAGAAAGUCUGGAUAACUUGAAACCUGGGGUUAGAUGGAGUGCAGCAAAAUAUUAUGUUGAUGAAAUAGCCAGGGGAAGCCUCAUGGAGGAUUUGAAUGCCAUGCGAAAAUGUUGAGGGUUUCCUGUAAGAACAUCGGAUGGCCACAGAAGAGUUAUGAGCAGGGUUAGGAUACUGAUGCCAGGAAACUAAAAGGGCAGCUCAGAGGCCCUGAGCUUAGACAGUAGCAGUGGGACUGGAAGAAGAGGGAGUCAAAAGAAAUGAAAAAGGUAGAAUGAAUAUAACAAUGUUUAAGUGAAUUAAAAGGAGAGAGCUUCCUAGGAUGAUUUUUGGUUUUCAGCUGAGGGUUUCCUUCACCAAAAAGAAGUACUAAAAAAAAGGGAAGUUUUGACAGGGAAGUUCCAUUUUAGAUAAUUUCAUUUUGAGGGCUAGUAAAAUGUAUUUGGGGAGCGGCAAUAUUCACCAGGCAUCUGGAUAAGCAGGACUCGAACUCAGGAGAGAGAUCCUAGAAAUUAAUAUCUGGGCCUCAUCAGUAUAUUGGCAGUAUGGGAAGCCAUGGCCAUGCCCCUUGGAAAGAGAAUAGGUUGAAGAAAGCCCAAGGUCAGAGCUCUGAAUGAAGAAGACUAAUAUUUAAAGGAAAAAUAGAGAAGAAUCUGCAAAGAAGGCUGGGAGACAAUAGACAGUGAAUGGAAAGGAAAAACCAUAGGAAUAGUGGUUCUUUGGCUUCCAGAAAGCAACUCAGGUAUCAGGUGUUCCCUCUACCUCCUUGGAUCUUAUGACAUUUCUGUCUUUCCGUCUGUAUUGCCUUAAUCUCUCCUCUCUCAUGAUCUCUUCAUAUAUAGUUGUUAAUUCCCCAUAACAUUGGCUUCACAUGGUCAAACACUGUCUCUGGAGUUUCUUUAUAUACUGUGACCUUUCAGCUUCUAUCCCCAUGUUGUUUCUUCCCUCUCCCUUCUGCCAUUUCCCCUCUCCCCUCUCCUCUCCUCUCUUCUCUUCUUUUGAUGGAAUCUCGCUCAUGGUGCUCCACACCUGUAA
rnacentral:lncRNA from 10 species